rnacentral:rRNA from 1 species
CAUGCAAGUCGAACGGAGAAUUCAGCAAUGAAUUCUUAGUGGCGAACGGGUGAGUAACGCGUAGACAACCUGCCUUCUAGAUGGGGACAACGUUCCGAAAGGAACGCUAAUACCGAAUGUGCUAUGUUUCCCGCAUGGGAAAGAUAAAAAAGGUGGCCUCUGAACAUGCUACCGCUAGAAGAUGGGUCUGCGUCUGAUUAGCUAGUUGGUGAGGUAAUGGCUCACCAAGGCGACGAUCAGUAGCCGGUCUGAGAGGAUGAACGGCCACACUGGGACUGAGACACGGCCCAGACUCCUACGGGAGGCAGCAGUGGGGAAUCUUCCGCAAUGGACGAAAGUCUGACGGAGCAACGCCGCGUGAGUGAAGAAGGUUUUCGGAUCGUAAAGCUCUGUUUUUAGGGACGAAUGGUGAUUAUGCAAAUAGUGUAGUCACAUGACGGUACCUGAAGAGGAAGCCACGGCUAACUACGUGCCAGCAGCCGCGGUAAUACGUAGGUGGCAAGCGUUGUCCGGAAUUAUUGGGCGUAAAGGGCGUGUAGGCGGGAUAGUAAGUCUGUUGUAAAAGUGCGGAGCUCAACUCCGUAAGGUCAAUGGAAACUGUUAUUCUUGAGUGCAGGAGAGGAAAGUGGAAUUCCCAGUGUAGCGGUGAAAUGCGUAGAUAUUGGGAGGAACACCAGUGGCGAAGGCGACUUUCUGGACUGUGUCUGACGCUGAGGCGCGAAAGCUAGGGGAGCGAACGGGAUUAGAUACCCCGGUAGUCCUAGCCGUAAACGAUGGGUACUAGGUGUAGAGGGUAUCGACCCCUUCUGUGCCGGAGUUAACGCAAUAAGUACCCCGCCUGG